UCUUUCUGACCGAGCCAAUCAGAAUCUGGUUAGACCCGCGCGCCGCGAAACAGUUACCUCCGCUACCGCGGCUCGUGCGGCGACGGCUGCCUAAGCGGAGGCGGGAGAAAGUGGCGUAGCUGCAGAUUAAUAGCCUUUGUAACGCACGGCCUCGUCUCGGCUGAGCACCUGAAGACCGGGUACGAGAGACGCCUGCGGAAAGAGGAGGGCGGUGAGAAUGCGGCCGGGAGCGGCCUCAGAAACAGCAGGCACACUGCAGCAUGCAAGGUGACCCGGACGAGUCUCACAAGGCCGGACCUGCGUUACUAUCAAAAAAGUAAACCAGUUCUGGGGACGGAGUCGGCGCCUUAGCGUUACAGAAAUCAGACUCUAAAGGCAAACUUUGGAUUGCCCUGUGCCAUUUUCACAAUGCUUUUGCUUCUGGUUGUGUAACAUACGUUUAGUUGGGUGAAAAUUAAUAUUAAUUUUAGUCGUUUUUAUUGAUUACAUUAUUUUCCCUUU